UAGUAUACUCGAGAGUGGCGAACGGGUGAGUAAUAUAUCGGAACGUGCCCAGUCGUGGGGGAUAACGUAGAGAAAUUUACGCUAAUACCGCAUACGAUCUAAGGAUGAAAGCGGGGGAUUCGCAAGAACCUCGCGCGAUUGGAGCGGCUGAUAUCAGAUUAGGUUGUUGGUGAGGUAAAAGCUCACCAAGCCGACGAUCUGUAGCUGGUUUGAGAGAACGACCAGCCACACUGGGACUGAGACACGGCCCAGACUCCUACGGGAGGCAGCAGUGGGGAAUUUUGGACAAUGGGCGAAAGCCUGAUCCAGCAAUGCCGCGUGCAGGAAGAAGGCCUUCGGGUUGUAAACUGCUUUUGUACGGAACGAAAAGGCUCUUUCUAAUAGAGAGGGCCCAUGACGGUACCGUAAGAAUAAGCACCGGCUAACUACGUGCCAGCAGCCGCGGUAAUACGUAAGGUGCGAGCGUUAAUCGGAAUUACUGGGCGUAAAGCGUGCGCAGGCGGUUCUAUAAGACAGAUGUGAAAUCCCCGGGCUCAACCUGGGAAUGGCAUUUGUGACUGUAGAGCUAGAGUACGGUAGAGGGGGAUGGAAUUCCGCGUGUAGCAGUGAAAUGCGUAGAUAUGCGGAGGAACACCGAUGGCGAAGGCAAUCCCCUGGACCUGUACUGACGCUCAUGCACGAAAGCGUGGGGAGCAAACAGGAUUAGAUACCCUGGUAGUCCACGCCCUAAACGAUGUCAACUGGUUGUUGGGUGCAUUAGUACUCAGUAACGAAGCUAACGCGUGAAGUUGACCGCCUGGCGAGUCACGUCGUACGGUUGAAACUCAAUAGAAUUGAUGGUGUACUCGCUCCAACCGGUGGAUGAAUGCGGUUCUAAUUCUUUUUGCCACGACGAAAAAUCCUAUCUAC
rnacentral:rRNA from 1 species